GAUGAACGCUGGCGGCGUGCUUAACACAUGCAAGUCGAACGGAAAGGCCCAAGCUUGCUUGGGUACUCGAGUGGCGAACGGGUGAGUAACACGUGGGUGAUCUGCCCUGCACUUCGGGAUAAGCCUGGGAAACUGGGUCUAAUACCGGAUAGGACCACAUUUUGGAUGGUGUGGUGGAAAGUUUUUCGGUGUGGGAUGGGCUCGCGGCCUAUCAGCUUGUUGGUGGGGUAAUGGCCUACCAAGGCGUCGACGGGUAGCCGGCCUGAGAGGGUGUACGGCCACAUUGGGACUGAGAUACGGCCCAGACUCCUACGGGAGGCAGCAGUGGGGAAUAUUGCACAAUGGGCGCAAGCCUGAUGCAGCGACGCCGCGUGGGGGAUGACGGCCUUCGGGUUGUAAACUCCUUUCGCUAGGGACGAAGCGUUUUUGUGACGGUACCUGGAGAAGAAGCACCGGCUAACUACGUG
rnacentral:rRNA from 1 species